rnacentral:rRNA from 1 species
AAUCAACGCUGGCGGCGUGCCUCAGACAUGCAAGUCGAACGAUUAAAGCUCUCUUCGGAGAGUGUAUAGAGUGGCGCACGGGUGAGUAACACGUAAGUAAUCUACCUUCGAGUGGGGAAUAACGUCCGGAAACGGACGCUAAUACCGCAUAAUGCAGCGGCAUCGCAAGAUGACAGUUGUUAAAGAUUUAUCGCUUGAAGAGGAGCUUGCGGCAGAUUAGCUAGUUGGUAAGGUAAUGGCUUACUAAGGCUACGAUCUGUAACCGGUCUAAGAGGACGGUCGGUCACACUGACACUGAAUAACGGGUCAGACUCCUACGGGAGGCAGCAGUCGGGAAGUUUGGGCAAUGGGCGAAAGCCUGACCCAGCAACGCCGCGUGAAGGAUGAAGUAUUUCGGUAUGUAAACUUCGAAAGAAUAGGAAGAAUAAAUGACGGUACUAUUUAUAAGGUCCGGCUAGCUACGUGCCAGCCGCCGCCGUAACAC